AGCACCUCUGGCCCAUCUUACGGGAGGGGGGGGGGGGUCUAAAAUAAAAUCAGCUGUCACUGUCUGCUCGUUGGACAGAGGUGAUCACGUACUGCUGGAGCUGGACUCCAACGCCAAAAGGGAUUUGACUUGUGGCAAGGAAAGACGCCCUGCGGGCCAGGGGUUUCAGUGGCCUUCCUGUGGGAUUCUAUCGACUGAGUUGCAUUUUUCUAUUUUUCACAGACCUGCUGCUGGCAGCGCAGGUGUAACUACCAGGUUAGGACUUCCUGAGGAAGCUAUGAACUCAGAGGAACAGGAUUCACUCUGAAGACUCAGAUCCCAUUGACAGGAACCAACUGACAAGACCUCCUGACACCAGGAUCCACUGACACCAGGAUAUAUUGACCACCAGUACCCACUGACACCAGUAGCCACUGAAACCAGGAUCCACUGACACCAGGAUCCACUGACACCAGUAGUCACUGACACCAGUAACCACUGACACCAGUAACCACUGACACCAGUAGCCACUGACACCAGGAUCUACUGACACCAGUAGCCACUGACACCAGGAUCCACUGACACCAGUAGCCACUGACACCAGGAUCCACUGACACCAGGAUCCACUGACACCAGUAGGUACUGACACCAGGAUCCACUGACACCAGGAUCCACUGACCGUACCCAUGGCCAUGUACCAGCAGGCAGCUGACUCCAAGCAGCAUGACAACAUCUUCUCCAGCGGGGUCAUGGAGGAGUCGGAGGUCUGCUCCGUGCCUGGGGGGCUCGCCGGCAUCAGGGCACAAUUUGAGACCCAGGAAACUGCCACAUCGCACAACGUCACCCAGUUCCUCUUCCGCCACAGAGAGGUGCAGGAAGUGGAAUUGAACUCUGAGUUGAGAAUGAUGAGCAGCUCCAGGGAAGUCAUCCCAGCCUCUCAGCAGGCUAUUUCCCAUCAGGAUGAACAGGUCACACAUGAAGAAAACUUGGCCUCCAGUUAUGAAAACAACCAUAACAAUGAAGCAGGUAGGAUGUGACUACAGUUUAUGUUCGUCAUAUUUUACAGUAUGCACAUCAUUAAGAUAAAUAACACUGUUAAAAGUAUUUUUAAUUCAAUCAUAUGAGGUUGAUGGAUGAAUCUUGCAUUCAGAAAGUAUUCAGACCCCUUCCGUUUGUCCACAUUUUGUUACGCUACAGCCUUAUUCUAAAAUGGAUUUUAAAAAUGUUUUCCUCAUCAAUCUACACACAAUACCCCACAAUGACAAAGGCAAAACAGGUUCAUAGAAAUGAUUGCAAAUGUAUUAAAAACAAAAAACAGAAAUAUCUUAUUUACAUAAGUUUUCAGACCCUUUGCUAUGAGAUUUCGAAAUUGAGCUCAGGUGCAUCCUGUUUCCAUUGACCAUCCUUGAGAUGUUUCUAUAACUUGAUUGGAGUCCACCUGUGGUAAAUUCAAUUGAUUGGACAUGAUUUGGAAAGGCACACACCUGUCUAUAUAAGGUCCCAGAGUUGAUAGUGCAUGUCAGAGCAAAAACCAAUCUAUGAGGUUGAAGGAAUUGUCCAUAGAGCUCUGAGACAGGAUUGUGUCGAGGCACAGAUCUGGGGAAGGGUACUAAAAACUGUCUGCAGCAUUGAAGGUCCCCAAGAACACAGUGGCCUCCAUCAUUCUUACAUGGAAGAAGUUUGUAACCACCAAGACUCUUCCUAGAGCUGGCCGUCCGGCCAAACUGAGCAAUCGGGGGAGAAGGGCCUUAGUAAGG
rnacentral:lncRNA from 1 species